GGUGGCUAGCGUUGUUCGGAAUCAUUGGGCGUAAAGGGCGUGUAGGCGGUUUUGUUAAGUCAUGUGUGAAAUCCCUCGGCUCAACCGGGGAAGGACGCAUGAAACUGGCAAGCUAGAGUACCAAAGAGGGGGGUGGAAUUCCCGGUGUAGCGGUGAAAUGCGUAGAUAUCAGGAGGAACACCGGUGGCGAAGGCGGGUCUCUGGGCCGAUACUGACGCUGAGGAGCGAAAGCGUGGGGAGCAAACAGG
rnacentral:rRNA from 1 species